rnacentral:lncRNA from 1 species
GGAGGAUUGGAAAGUAGGUAGCACACUGGCUGUUCUGCUCUUCAUGUCUGCUGGCAAAGUCAGGAAAAAGGAUGGAUGUAUCCUCACCAUUUUUUCAAGAGGAACCUGCAGAGGGCUCAGAAACCAAGGCAGGCUCCUCGGGGGAGGCCACAGGAACUGUCCGCUUUGCUGGUGCUAGCAGCCCCAGGGACCCCUCACCAACAACCAUUUGCUCUUCUGGUGCCUGGCUAUGAAUCCAGUGUCACUUGAUUCUACUCAAUGGCUACCUUUGAGAUGUCAGGCUGGUCGCCUGAGUCAUGCAGUGUGCUGCUCCAGUUCCUACAGAUGCCGUGCCUCUUCCAGCAAACUCUGCUGCCCCCACAGAGCUCAAGAUCCUGCCUAUGAGUCACCACCAAGGGUUGGAGGCCUGUGUGACCUCCCAGGUGGUCCAGCUGCCUCUCCAGGAAGCUGUGCCAGAAAAGGCCUGCCAGGAACCAGCGGGCUGCCCUCCAAGGUUAAAAAUUUCCACAGACCAGUCAAAACCUUUUGGUGGCCGAGCGCAGUGGCUCACACCUAUAAUCCCGGCACUUUGGGAGGCCGAGG